AUUGAACGCUGGCGGCAGGCCUAACACAUGCAAGUCGAGCGGAUGAGUGGAGCUUGCUCCAUGAUUCAGCGGCGGACGGGUGAGUAAUGCCUAGGAAUCUGCCUGGUAGUGGGGGACAACGUUUCGAAAGGAACGCUAAUACCGCAUACGUCCUACGGGAGAAAGCAGGGGACCUUCGGGCCUUGCGCUAUCAGAUGAGCCUAGGUCGGAUUAGCUAGUAGGUGAGGUAAUGGCUCACCUAGGCGACGAUCCGUAACUGGUCUGAGAGGAUGAUCAGUCACACUGGAACUGAGACACGGUCCAGACUCCUACGGGAGGCAGCAGUGGGGAAUAUUGGACAAUGGGCGAAAGCCUGAUCCAGCCAUGCCGCGUGUGUGAAGAAGGUCUUCGGAUUGUAAAGCACUUUAAGUUGGGAGGAAGGGCAGUAAGUUAAUACCUUGCUGUUUUGACGUUACCAACAGAAUAAGCACCGGCUGACUUCGUGCCAGCCGCCGCGGUAAUAC
rnacentral:rRNA from 1 species